CGCUUCUCCAUGCAGGACGUCUGUAAACAGGAAUAGGAGCGUCACCGGUCACUGAGCUACAAGCUAAAGUUAGCUAGUUAGUCACAGAAAUGCCCUCGAUUCCCAAACCUGAAGUCCCCUGUCGCCAGGAGGAGAGACCAGAUGCUGUGGUAUUUAAUUUACCGGCUGCACCAGUUCCUACUACACUGGCUGUGAAGGGAGAAGCUUUUGAGGAUUCCCAGAUGGAUACAGGUAAUUCAGAAUUAUA